rnacentral:lncRNA from 1 species
AUCUCAUUUCCCAUUUCUGAGUCCAACUUCAAAGCACUGACACAUUUGGUGUCUGAUGAUGUCCGGCUUUCUCAUAGACGGCUACCUUCUUCUCACUGUUACCUCAUAUGGUGGAAGAGAAAGUAUCAUCUGCCAGGAUUCUCAGUCCUGGACAGCAAGCAGUUAACCCUGGGGAAGGGAGAAAGGAGAAGACAAUGGAGGAAUGGUCUUCAUUUCCAGGGGCAUCUGCUUCCCAAAAUGAAACAUUUGGAAGUUUUUUGAGGGCUCAAGAAGGGAGCUCUAAAAUGCAACAUGUGAAGUGAGGUUAUU